UACGUAGGAUGCAAGCGUUGUCCGGAUUUAUUGGGAGUAAAGUGAGCGUAGGCGGCAAUGUAAGUAUGUCGUGAAAUAUCCCGGCUCAACCGGGAGGGUGCGAUGUAGACUAGGGAGCUAGAGGUCGGUAGAGGGGGGUGGAAUUGCUGGUGUAGCGGUGAAAUGCGUAGAGAUCAGCAGGAACACCCGUGGCGAAGGCGGCCCCCUGGGCCGUACCUGACGCUGAGGCGCGAAGGCUAGGGGAGCGAACGGG
rnacentral:rRNA from 1 species